CACACUUGACAUCAAGUAAAGUAUAAAAGCAGGGCUCUUUCUGGAACUUCACAAAAUCAUCCUCUGAGAUUCUAAAGGCAACGAUCUGAAAACCAAGGUUCAUCAUGGCAAUGCUGAGAAAUCUUCUGCUUCUUUUUAUUGUGUUCUCCAUGGGGAAUGCAGAAGUUGAUGUAGUUGAAAAAUGCCCCUAUGGAUGGACAAAUUUUGGAGUCAGAUGCUACAAGUUCUUCUCUCAGUCGGUUAACUGGAUCACAGCAGAGGUAAAGUGUUAGUUACAAC